rnacentral:rRNA from 1 species
GGCCAGACUCCUACGGGAGGCAGCAGUAGGGAAUUUUGCGCAAUGGGGGAAACCCUGACGCAGCAACACCGCGUGAAUGUUAAGCCCUUCGGGGUGUAAAGUUCUGUCAAUAGGGACGAAUUUUGACUGUACCUAUAAAGGAAGCACCGGCUAACUCCGUGCCAGCAGCCGCGGUAAUACGUAGGAUCCGAGCAUUAUCCGGAGUGACUGGGUGUAAAGAGUUGCGUAGGUGGCAUAGUAAGUAGCUAGUGAAAUCUGGUGGCUCAACCAUUCAGACUAUUAGCUAAACUGCUAAGCUCGAGACCGUUAGGGGUAACUGGAAUUUCUAGUGUAGGAGUGAAAUCCGUAGAUAUUAGAAGGAACACCGAUAGCGUAGGCAGGUUACUGGGACGGUUCUGACACUAAGGCACGAAAGCGUAGGGAGCAAACGGGAUUAGAUACCCCGGUA